rnacentral:lncRNA from 1 species
AUGCAGAAAUUUGAGUCUACAAGCCCUGGAUUAUCUGCCAAGAGACAAAGUCCCUAUCAGCCUGUGAUGCUGCUGCUCCACAUCUGGCCUUUCCAGCCUGAAAGCCACCAGCCACGUGAGACUAAUCUAUUUGGUAAACUUCAGCAGGGGAAGAGCAAGAAGCCGGAGUGGAGAGAAAGGACUGUCUCCUUAGACAGACCUUGUCUGCUGUUCCUGCCACAUACAGACAGAAAGCAUGGUGUCUAUAAUAACUAAACUGAGCAAUGAAGAAGUGAGAGGACCAUCUGUGUCUGCAUUUAAACAGAACUAAAAUCCCAGUUAUGAUGAAGAAAAAAGAUAUUGCUUAUUAGAAGGACAUUUCAACAUCCAAGCACAGAAGACAAGCAACAUCUCCAGCAGCCCAGCUCCCCAAGCUUUGCCAACCAGUACAUUUCAGUAGAACUAAAGCUCAGUCCUUGUGAUACCUUUGAGGAACAAUUACCAGAGGAUUUCCUCUUGAGGAAUUUGAUUUUCAUAAUAAAGCGAAAGACAAAUAUGUUUGAUUUUCACACCAAAGCGAAACCGAAGUGAAUAAGAAAGACAAAGAGCUGCCAGUGGUGCUUAAUCUCUGGACUCCUACAGGUUAAUGGACUGACAAGCAGAAACAGGUAAGUGAUUGAUAUUGAUUCUAUAAGCCUCCAAGUGUGGAGUUUCCUGGUUUGUUCUGUCUUCUGUGUAAGUAUAGAUAAUGUGAUUAGAAGGAAUCAAGCAUUUAUUCAGUCCUGUCUUUGAAUCAUAUGCUCCAAAGUAAUUUUUCAGACAGUGGUUUUGAACAUUUUAAACAUCUCUAUCCUACCACUCUGUACAUUGUACUCUCUUAAUUACGUUAUAUCAACUGCAUUAUAAUUAUGUCUAACUUCAGGACAUUUCUGGUUUGUUUUAAAACUAUAUUGAUUACUCAAGGCUCUGUACUGAGUGGCUCAGCAUUUGUUCCAAUUGCUUGUACUAAUGUCAGCAGCUGAAUUAAGCAAGUGUCUGUCGGAUUUGGGGAAAUAGAAACUCGCAAUAAACUGCAAGGCAUUCCAGAUCAAAGGAGUGAAGGGAACUGCUGUUCAUAGCCCUUUCUCAAGAAAUAUUAUUAUUCAAUUUGAACUGAAGCCAUAAGAAGAUGUUAUCUAAUAUAUAUUUAUAGGAUGUGUAGUUUAACAUGAGGCAGCAUCAUAAAAAGGAAAUUACAAAAUUGUAUUCAGUUUGGUGUUCUUAUUAAUGUUUGUUACCUUUCUUUUUCUGUUGAGUUGGUUCUCUACUAGGAAGAUAGCAUUGGUCUUUUUCUAUUUUUGAUUUAAAUGAAAAAUAGUGAAAACAUUCACAGCAAUUUAACAUGUUUUAUUUGUGACUCUUACCUGCAGAUACAGUGCGCUAAAGUAAGAGACUAUGGUCACAUAAGUGAAUAAUUCAUUCGAUUACCUCAUGCCUUUCCUUCUCUUUACAAUUUUAAUGAAAUUAUAGAAACAAAAUGA